AUUGAACGCUGGCGGCAGGCCUAACACAUGCAAGUCGAGCGGCAGCGGGAAAGUAGCUUGCUACUUUUGCCGGCGAGCGGCGGACGGGUGAGUAAUGCCUGGGAAAUUGCCCAGUCGAGGGGGAUAACAGUUGGAAACGACUGCUAAUACCGCAUACGCCCUACGGGGGAAAGCAGGGGACCUUCGGGCCCUGCGCGAUUGGAUAUGCCCAGGUGGGAUUAGCUAGUUGGUGAGGUAAUGGCUCACCAAGGCGACGAUCCCUAGCUGGUUUGAGAGGAUGAUCAGCCACACUGGAAAUGAGACACGGUCCAGACUCCUACGGGAGGCAGCAGUGGGGAAUAUUGCACAAUGGGGGAAACCCUGAUGCAGCCAUGCCGCGUGUGUGAAGAAGGCCUUCGGGUUGUAAAGCACUUUCAGCGAGGAGGAAAGGUUGAUGCCUAAUACGUAUCAACUGUG
rnacentral:rRNA from 1 species